rnacentral:rRNA from 1 species
GAUCAGAUACCGUCGUAGUCCACGCUGUAAAUGCUGGCGCCCAUGGGCUGGGUAGCCACGAGAAAUCUCUGAGGUUAUGGCCUCAUGGGGGAGUACGUUCGCAAGGCUGAAACUUAAAGAAAUUGACGGAAUGGCACCACCAGGCGUGGAGCGUGCGGUUUAAUUUGACUCAACACGGGGAACCUUACCAGGUCAGAACCCCGUUAGGAUUGACAGAUUGACAGCUCUUUCUUGAUUCGGAUGAUGGUGGUGCAUGGCCGCUCUUCGUUGGUGGAGUGAUUUGUUUGGUUGAUUCCGUGAACGAACGAGAUCUCAGCCUCUAAAUAGCUCAUCGUGCGUCUCACGAUGGAGCGAGCCAAUAGCAGGUCUGUGAUGCCCCUACUGUUCUGGGCUACAUGCGCACUACACUGACAGAGUGAGCCAGUUCCUGCUCCGAAAGGAGUGGGAAACCUUCAAAACUCUGUCGUGAUGGGGAUCGCAGAUUGCAAUUAUUCCUCUUGAACGAGGAAUGCCUAGUAGGCGCAUUUCAUCAGAGUGCACUGAUUACGUCCCUGCCAUUUGUACACACCGCCCGUCGUUGCUACCGAUUGGGCGAAGGAUAGAGGUUGGUGGGAGAAGUCCACCGAUAUCCUUUGUCUAGAGGAAGCAAAAGUCGUAACAAGGUUGCGGUAGGUGAACCUGCAGAAGGAUCA